rnacentral:rRNA from 1 species
AUGGCAGACAAUACCGACAGAGAGGUAGAACAGACCAUGUUCGAUAUGAUACGUGGGCCAAAUGAUGAUCAGAAUGAAGAAGAUUAUGACGGCUCCGAAUUUCUAAACAACACCGGAGAGGGUGAUAUGAUAUUCGAUCGCGACGACCGAAUUGAUGAAGUCAUGAACUACGAUUAUGACGAUGACGAAGAACAUGUUGAUCCUGAAACAACAAAGACCGGCGAGCCAUCCGGAUCGAGCAAAUCUUCAGGCAAAAGGACGAAACGAGGCCCGAACAAAAAGUUGAAGGAGGGCGUAAAGUACAAUAUCGAGGCAAUCAGACCUAGUGGCGAACCAUUAGCGCCUAAGAAGAUUGCGGACAAGUUCGUUCGUCAGUGCGGAGUUCUUGUGAAGGACCAACUCCCGAUCUCCCUUCAAGAAUGGAGAGAGCCAGCAAAAGACAAAAGACAAAAAGACAAAGAGGACGCUGCUCCACGUCCAGAUGUUACUUUUGUCGACAAGAAUCAAAAAGAUCUGCUUUGGGAUACUCUCAUGGAACAUUUCACCCUACCAGAUCAUUUCACAGAAGCAGAUGUGCAGAAAGUCAAGGGCGCUGCUCUUAGGAAGAUGGCGGUUGCAUUCAAGAACCACAAGAAUCGUGAAUGGGACAAGUACGUCAAGGGAGGAAGGAAGACUCCAGUAUUCGAGGGAACACUAGAGAACCAACGUGCUCAUUGGGACGAUUUUGUCAAAUUCAAGGAUUCAGAAUUAGCUAAGGAACGGUCGAGAAUAAACAAGAAGAAUGCCGAAAAAAAGGAUAAGUUCCAUAAGCUGGGGCCAGGUGGCUAUGCGGUGGCAAUGCCUAAGUGGGAUAAGUCUGAGAAAGAGAUGGAGGAUGCAGGUGCCACUCCAGUUACUAAGAGCUGGCCCCCAGGGUCAGGACUUGGUUCUAUGUGCAUGGGGGGGAGUUGGACCCGAAGACAGGCAAUGUUUCGACGAGGGCAAAUCUGA